UACGUAGGUGGCAAGCGUUUGUCCGGAUUUUACUGGGCGUAAAGAGCGCGCAGGCGGUCGGAUAAGUCGAAUGUGAAAGCCCACGGCUCAACCGUGGAGGGUCAUUGGAAAGCUGGGGGACUUGAGUACAGAAGAGAAGAGUGGAAUUCCACGUGUAGCGGUGAAAUGCGUAGAGAUGUGGAGGAACACCAGUGGCGAAGGCGACUCUUUGGUCUGUAACUGACGCUGAGGCGCGAAAGCGUGGGGGAGCAAACAGG
rnacentral:rRNA from 1 species